UGAAAUUUAUUUUGAGCUAUUUACAGCGUUUAAUAAUUGAGCAAGCUAUACUCCUAUAAACAAAAUUUGGAGCAUGUUUGUCUCUCUCUGUCUGCCUGGCAUCUACAGAAUUUGGAAACUAGUUUCUUUCCCAGAUUUUCUAAACUUUCCAGAGAAAAUGGUCUUCUCCCUGGCUCAGCAAGAAGAUGAACUUUAAACACUGAGAAACUGGUCAUCUCCCUGGCUCAACCAGAAGAUGAACUUUAAACACUACUCUCAAUGACUUGAUGUUCCCAUCACUACUCCUGUCAUAAAGGGAGGGGACUCAGAUAUUGAGAAUUUUAUGAUAGUGUGAACUGUCUGGUAUGUCAUUUAAGUAAGCCCGUUGCUGACAUAUUUUCCAUGUUAUUAGAAAGAGCUGAAGAGAGGGUUUGAGAUGGCUUCUUUAUUUUUUGUCUUUUGGGAAUUAAAGGAACCUGGUUCAACAAGGGCCUACACCUAAGUCUCUUGUUGUACCAGAGUACAAUUUAGGACUGCUCCUGAGGAAGGAAUUAGCUAGAAAUCUAGAGAGUAAGGGUAACAGAUUUACAAUAGAAUAACAGCCUCAGUAUUUUUGGUUCCUCUCCAGUAAAGAUCACAAAGAAUAUUGCUAAAUCGCUAAAACACCUUUGCAAUAACGUAAGGGCUUACAACUAUACACCAAUGUAGCUCAGUUACUAAACUGGAGUAAAAUAAUUUCUCUUGUGUAGAAAAAUUGGUUGGCUGUGGUUUUAUAGCAGAUUUGCAAUUAUUAAUAGUUAUGCCAAUAAUCGUUUAACAGUGCAUAUGUUAAUAUGUAUGGAAAGACAAUGUGUAUAGACAGAUGUGUAAAAUUGAAAAAUAAACAUAUAACAAGAGAGAAACAUCUAUCGAACAGACAAUAUACAUACACAUUAAACACAACAGCAGUUUUAGUGACCACAAUAUUUAUUUCUCAUUUUUACAUUGGUUACUUUACUGACAACUGAAAAUGACAGUUGGCAAUGCAGCUAACAGUUUCAAUAAAAGUAUAAAACAAAA
rnacentral:lncRNA from 1 species